CCUACGGGAGGCAGCAGUGAGGAAUAUUGGUCAAUGGGCGGAAGCCUGAACCAGCCAAGUCGCGUGAGGGAAUAAGGCCCUACGGGUCGUAAACUUCUUUUAUAAAGGAAUAAAGUGAGGCACGUGUGCCUUUUUGUAUGUACUUUAUGAAUAAGGAUCGGCUAACUCCGUGCCAGCAGCCGCGGUAAUACGGAGGAUCCGAGCGUUAUCCGGAUUUAUUGGGUUUAAAGGGAGCGUAGAUGGGUUGUUAAGUCAGUUGUGAAAGUUUGCGGCUCAACCGUAAAAUUGCAAUUGAUACUGGCAGUCGUGAGUACAGUUGAGGUAGGCGGAAUUCGUGGUGUAGCGGUGAAAUGCUUAGAUAUCACGAAGAACUCCGAUUGCGAAGGCAGCUUACUAAACUGCCACUGACAUUGAUGCUCGAAAGUGUGGGUAUCAAACAGGAUUAGAUACCCCUGUAGUC
rnacentral:rRNA from 1 species